AUUGAACGCUGGCGGCAUGCCUUACACAUGCAAGUCGAACGGCAGCACGGGAGCAAUCCUGGUGGCGAGUGGCGAACGGGUGAGUAAUAUAUCGGAACGUGCCCAGUCGUGGGGAUAACGUAGCGAAAGCUACGCUAAUACCGCAUACGUCCUACGGGAGAAAGCGGGGGAUCUUCGGACCUCGCGCCAUUAGAUGAGCCUAGGUCGGAUUAGCUAGUUGGUGAGGUAAUGGCUCACCAAGGCGACGAUCCGUAACUGGUCUGAGAGGAUGAUCAGUCACACUGGAACUGAGACACGGGUCCAGACUCCUACGGGAGGCAGCAGUGGGGAAUUUGGACAAUGGGGCGAACCCUGAUCCAGCAAUGCCGCGUGAGUGAAGAAGGCCC
rnacentral:rRNA from 1 species